CACAAACAGAACAAGCAUACAAAAAGUUUUUGAGUCGUCUUUCAACUCGCGUGCAGCAAAGAGGAAAUCGAGGCCUACGCAAGCAAACAGCCCAGUGCGUGCAGAGAGGACGGCGAAGAAGCCCGAGAAGAAGUUUGGACGCGGCAGCAACAAGGAGGCGCCUGCAGGGCAGCUGCCAUUUGGCACAACAAGAAAUACAGGAAACGAAGGGACUCGUGCAAUCAGCCGAGCGAUAGCCACUGGUGUUAUGUUAAAAUUCAGCAACAAGGAAGCGCGAGUGCCGUUGGGCAACAUAGCGGAUUAGUAAGCGUUCGUAAAACACAGUGUAUGUACCUUAUCAAUGGUGCACGGAGCUCUCCAUGGCCAGCCCCAUGGAGUCACUUUGGUUUCGAUCAAAGUCGACUGCAUGCAGCUCCAUGAAGGGACUGUGCGCAGCAAAUGUCAUAACUCUGACAACUUUCCCUCGAGUUUCACAGCGCGCAAUAUGGCGAACGGACGAGUUUACAGUCCCGAGAAAACAUAAUCCAAAGUCCGGAGAGGCUGGAGGAAGAGAAGAAAACAAGGCUCGUUAGCGCUGAAGUUCAACAACGCUGCCCGGUGUGUAUCCGCGGAGCCGUGCGCUUCAGGAAAACAUGUCCACAACUUUCUCUCCCCGCAUCAACGAGUAAACCGCACAUGAGACGGCGACUGCGUGACAACUCCGCCGUGCAGCGGCCUGCUCGGGUAUAAACGCAGAUUUCUACGGUGCCUCUGCAGAGACCCGCGUCACGUAAACUCUAGGUUCCGGUUUAUCCACAUGGGAUGAAACGCUGCGAAACUGCGCACACACGCAGAAAGUUGUGCACCCCGGAACGCACCGCCUCACCCCAAAACAGCUCAACUCACGUCCUGUUGUCCAAUCCGGUCGUCUGGCCACUCCCAGAGCUGUAUCCGUGUACGUUCGUUUUGCUGUCACGGGCUGCCCCCCGGAGGGCGGAGCCUCAGCUCAACACACGGAAAAAGCCUGUGGUUAACAUCAGAGUCGUAGACAGGAUGUUUAUACUGAGGUCAAGGACAGGCAGCCCCCCAACAUCAUGCAAUAUAGCCAUAUAUCUCAGUGUGCACAGUUUUGUUUACUUUUUUUAAAUGUUGUUUCUCUAUUUAUAUUUCUUACUUGUUUCUACUUUUGCUCUCCCCUUUGCUGCUGUAAUAAUGCAAACAUCCCUGUUGUGGGACUAAUAAAGUAAUGUCUUAUUAUACAAUUUGCAAGAGAACUUUUGAUUUGAUUACAUCUUCUCUGUUUAAGUCAUUCAACUCUUCCAUUUUUUUAUUUAACAUAUUGUGCUCAUUCAAACCAGUUGUAUGACACAUAUAUAGAAAGCUGAGUGUUUUAUAUUCCAUACCUGCCAACAAAAGACUUUGAAAAAGAGGUU